AAGUCGUAACAAGGUUUCCGUAGGUGAACCUGCGGAAGGAUCAUUAACACAAUUUUGAUUCAAAUCUCUUUGCUUCGUUGUCUUUUUCUCGAUGCAAGAAAUUCCAUCUAGAGAGAGCAACAAGCAAUUAACCCCCUUUCUAUGACGAAAAAUCUUACAAGAAUGGAAGAAAAGGAAUGUGUUCGUCACAAUCCGUUUCAACCGUUUUUGCCUUUACCCCUUUUACAAUAUGUAAUAGACUGAAAACAAAAAUCAUAUUCUAGAUCUCUAGAAUCUAAAACUAAGAAAACAACUCUUAGCAACGGAUAUCUAGGUUCUC
rnacentral:misc_RNA from 1 species